rnacentral:rRNA from 1 species
CAGUCGCCGCGGUAAAACGUAGGGCGCAAGCGUUAUCCGGAAUUAUUGGGCGUAAAGAGCUCGUAGGCGGUUUGUCGCGUCUGCCGUGAAAGUCCGGGGCUCAACCCCGGAUCUGCGGUGGGUACGGGCAGACUAGAGUGAUGUAGGGGAGACUGGAAUUCCUGGUGUAGCGGUGAAAUGCGCAGAUAUCAGGAGGAACACCGAUGGCGAAGGCAGGUCUCUGGGCAUUAACUGACGCUGAGGAGCGAAAGCAUGGAGAGCGAACAGGAUUAGAUACCCCCGUAGUCCCUGUCUCUUAUAC